rnacentral:lncRNA from 1 species
GGAGAAGUAUGUCAGAGUGGGAAUCGGCAUUCAAAUUUAUGUUCGAGCUCAUAAAACGCAAUAAAUGUCGAGAACAUUGCUAAUGGAUAAUAUCGUUAAAUACCUCUUAAGUGCUUUCAACGAGUUUAUGGUUCAAUUUAAACUGGUACCGAAGGCUGUUAACUAAUUGAAAUAACAAUUAAAUAUACAUAUAUCAGUUAUAUUUAUAUGUAAAUAUGUGUCGACGACGACGGUUUAACAAAACACCAUAACAAAAGGGUUUCCCAGUCUUUAAUAUUUACAUACAUACAUAUGUAUACGGCACGAGUAUCAGAAGCAGAUUUUGUUUUAAUAUCAUUUCUUUCACAUAAUGACUUUCCUGCAAUGCUAGUUUAUUUGGUGUUGAAGUAGAAUUAAUGCUCUCCGAUCAGCAGGAUGGCUUUGAAAUGAAUGAGUGCAGUCAAAUGUAUUUCCGUCUACAGAUGCAUAUACAUACAUGCAGACGUGUGCGUCCUAUCCCUUACUAUACCGAAACCGAAGAAAGCCUGCUGUGCUGUAUAGCGGUUACUAAUCACAAAAAUUUGUACAACUGUUUAAAAAGCCUUAAUGUACUUCUAAUAGCAAAGUUGGCAUUACCCUGCUGGCAAUUCAAAGUAAACAGUUGCUGUAUCCAAUUACGAUCUGUAAUCCCGUCGAGUGGUGUGGCACGCUUCAACAAUUUGCUUAUUGACUCAACAGUUAAAUGCAAACAUACAUAUAAAAGGUACGUAUGAGAUAUGUAUGAAUAUACAUAUGUAUACAUGUUAGUGAAAGCAUCGAUCCAUUCAUAACUGGGUGACUGCUCACAGGACAAUACGUUGAUAGAGCGAAUUAUUUCGAUGUAGGUACGCAUUUAAAUUUAAUUACAUCAAUGCCUCUGCUAAUUUGUCAAAU